UACGAAGGUCCCGAGCGUUGUUCGGAAUCACUGGGCGUAAAGGGAGCGUAGGCGGCAUGGUAAGUCAGAUGUGAAAUCCCGGGGCUCAACCCCGGAACUGCAUCCGAUACUGCCUUGCUAGAGUAAUGGAGAGGUAACUGGAAUUCUCGGUGUAGCAGUGAAAUGCGUGGAUAUCGAGAGGAAGACCAACGGCGAAGGCAGGUUACUGGACAUUUACUGACGCUGAGGCUCGAAGGCCAGGGGAGCGAAAGGG
rnacentral:misc_RNA from 1 species